GAUGAAGAACGUAGCAAAAUGCGAUACUUGGUGUGAAUUGCAGAAUCCCGUGAACCAUCGAGUUUUUGAACGCAAGUUGCGCCCGAAGCCUUUUGGCCGAGGGCACGUCUGCCUGGGCGUCACGCAUCGCGUCGCCCCCCACAAUUCUCCGUAAAGGGAACAUGUGUUUUGGGGGCGGAUAUUGGUCUCCCGUGCUCAUGGCGUGGUUGGCCGAAAUAGGAGUCCUUUCGAUGGACGCACGAACUAGUGGUGGUCGUAAAAACCCUCGUCUUUUGUUUCGUGCUGUUGCUCGCAAAGUAAACUCUUUAAAAACCCCAAUGUGUCGUCUCUUGACGACGCUUCGACCGCGACCCCAGGUCAGGCGGGACUACCCGCUGAGUUUAAGCAUAUCAAUAAGCGGAGGA
rnacentral:misc_RNA from 1 species